GCAUCUCCACUAGCGAGUGGGCACAGGUGGUGGAGUCUGUUCUUCGAUUGGAUCUGCCAUGGAGAACCCUGCGCCCACGCCUGGCCCGUCUUGGUGCAGAUGGCAACGUAGAGUAUGAAUCCUGCUUUGAGGACAUCAGCCUUGGAGAGCCCAUCCCUCCGGUAACACCAAACUUGGCUGAAACUCUUUAUAGGUAUAGAACUGACCUAGAGAUAAUAUUUAACAUCAUAGAUAAGGACCACUCAGGUCAGAUCUCCAUCGAGGAGUUUCGUCAGACUUGGAAGCUCUUCAGUUCUCAUUUGGGGGUGGCUGUGAAUGACCAGACUAUAGAUGACAUGGCUCGAAGCAUAGACUUUAACAAAGAUGGCAGCAUUGAUUUUAAUGAGUUCCUGGAGGCCUUCAGGGUGGUGCAUAAACUAGAUGUCAAAGAGCAGCAGCAGGGUUAAUUCUGGAUGAGCAGAUUACAGACAAGGCAGAUUUACAAAUCAUUUUUGGUACUUCAUCUUUAUUUUUUAACAACUUAUGGACACAGUAAAAAGCUAUUCAUUUUCGUUUUCCAGGAUUCACAUUUUUCAUAAAGGUAAGAGUUU